UCUUCAGGGCCUUUACAGUAGACUCUAUUCCUGGGUCAUGCGCGAUUCCACUUGUCCUUUGACAGUUGUACAGUGAGGAGAUGGGUCACAAAAAAAAGUUGCUGCCGAGUUGGAAUGACUGAAAACUCCAAAGGUGAACAUAAGGCAUAGCCAAGGAUCCAAAUAGCCAAUGGAAAACGACAACAUGCAUUAAUAAAGCACUUUCAGCUUUGUAAAACAUCCUGGUUGAAGUUGAAUUCAUAUGGAAAAGAAUAUAUGCGAAGUAAUUUUCAAGUAUAAGGUACUUUUUAAAAAGAC